AUUGAAAACUAAUAACUUAAACUGGUUUGUUUUUAGGUGAUGGAUUUAGAGUGUUACAAAAUCUACCCCCUAAAAAGAAUCUCGUCCUCGAGAUUAAGGAAGGCUAGCAAGAAAACAAAGGUGAUAUAUGGUUACUCGUAGGUUCUUGGUUCACACUUUAACUCUUCUAAAUGUAAAGAACUCGUUGUUUCUUUGCUUCGCAGUGAAUACUAACCAGGCGACCUUCAUCAUCGCACUUAUAAAACAGUUGGUCUUCUGAAUUAUUGCUUAGGUCAUGCUUGGCAGCUUUCUUCUUUAGUUGGUCUAGACGCUUCUUGGGGCAUUCGCGAAUAAUAUGUCCUUCAUUUUUUUGCAGUAGUAGCAAGCACCUCUUGCUUUGAGUUCUUUGCGAGUCAACUUUUCUUGACCAACCGGUGAUGAGGGAUGAUUGGGUGUCUGUAUCUCAUAUAGCUGAGUCUGGCUUGAUUCUUCUGUUUGGGUAUCCAUGUGUUUCGAAGUUUUUUGCUCGUGGUUGAGGUGGACCACUCAUAUAUCCAAACAUUUUUCUAUUCCUUUUGUUGUUCUUCACGAUGUUGAUGGAAGUUUCUGUGCAUUUUGGUUCAUAUCCCAUGUCUGGAGACUGAGAUAGCUUUAUCUCGGGGGUGAUCUGUAGUGAACUCUUCUCAGGACAGUUACGGAAGUAAUGACCUUCACGACCACAUUGAUAGCAAGACUUUCUUGAAGUAAUUUCUUGACUUUUUCCAUGUUUCCACUUUUGUUUCUUGGAACUGAUGCGACGACAAGGCUGAAGCUAUGUGCAGGUGAUAGUCCAUCCAUCAAUGUAACACUCAUUUGCUUCUUUUUGGAGCUGGGCAUCCUUGUGAUGUUUCCUUUUUGGAAAACCUGGCAAUUCAUCGUCUGACAGUGUAUCUGCUAUUAGUUGUUCUUGGGAAGACCAUUGACUUUUUAUACCAGAAAAUAAAAUCCGGUUCUUCUGUUUUGUAGUUUCACUUUCGUUCGUACUGAUCUGGCGACAAGGAAUUCCAUAGUACUCACAACAACAACAUGUUCCAAGAUCAUUUGUCUGUUGGUGUGCAUCCUUUUGUUCAUCAGUUGUUUCAUUUCUAGUGAUGUUUUGACUUGCCAACACUUGCUGGUAUGAGGAGGUGAGUUGCGAUACAUUCUGUAUUACAAGAGCUUGUGCAUGUAACAGCGUUUCUAAGUCAACUAUCGAGGGUGAUGUUGUGGUUGAUGUCAUAUGGUUAUCAGUAGUCUGCUCAUGUGCUAUAAAUUCUGCUAAAUCAACUUGUUGGAGUCUAGCUACCACUUGAGAUGUUGCUUGCAGAAACUGAGCAUGUCCCUUCUUGAACUGUUCCAUCUGAUCCUUAGCUAGAGGAGUUGCCAACACAAUGUAUUCUUUGCACUUAGUGACAUCACUUGCAGUUGACAUUCCAAGGACUGACAUCUGUAUGGGUAUGGAAGAAUGGAAGGGACGAGAGGGUUGAGCAAAGACAGAUUAUAGAGGGCAGAGAAAACCCAUCUAUCUAAGGUUUUACCUAGCUAACUGAUGUCAUUGUGGACAAAAGUCACACAAUACACCAACAAUCAUUUCAAAGAAGCAAAUCAAACAUGAACACAAAGGACAAUGAAUUCAAGCAUACCAGCACAACACAAUCCAAUUCUACUUAUUCAACCAAAACAAAAGGUGAGACAAGGUUUGGAAUAAGAAAGAUAUUAUAAAGUCAAGGAGUCAGGUAAGAAUUAUCAAGGAGUUAGACAAGACCAAAACAUUAUUGUUAAUGACCAAUAAUGAAAUAAGAUAACCACAACUGGUGAAGCGAGGAUAAAUUAUACAACCAAGGACAUGAGAAAGUUUUUUUUUCUUUUUUUAAGGAUACAAAAUACAAGGGCAUUAUCAAGUAGAGAGACAAAGGGUUCAAUAUCUCGAGGUAGAUAUUGUCCAAGGAUGACAAUACAAUGGCAAGAAAACAAAAGUAUAAGAAUUCAAUAGGGAGAAAGCAUUAUCAAGGAGAAAAGUAGAGAGGCAAAAGUUUAUUAUAUCAAGGUAGAUAUUGUCCAAGGAUGACAAUACAAUGGCAAGAAAACAAAAGUAUAAGAAGUCAAGGGUUAUAUAGCAAUAUUAGGGAUUAGAAAACCACUAUAAUAUAAUGUCGUCUUUACCGAUCUAGUCGAAAAUCUUAAUACUAAAGAAUAAUCCUAUCAACCUAGCCAAGAAGUCAAAUAAUAGAUCCAGGGGAUCCAGAACAAAACUUCUGCAGAGUGGGGAUAAGAUAGAGAAUAGGGCAUCGUCGAUAGCUUCGAGAGGGUUUCUUCUGGCAAACUUCGCUUCAAGUUCUGCAAUCUUAGCUUGAUCAUCUUGCAAUGCUUCUCAUUAGAACCUUCUGAUAGACGAAGAAUCAGACAAGAAGGGUUGAAGAUAAAAGAGACGAGUUUUUGUAUAAAGUAAGUUUUUAUGGAGACAAUUAAGUCAAGUUUUGAAAGACUGACUGGGCUUUCCAUUUCUAUCUAAUCUAGCGACCUACGGUCACAUUGCUUUGAUACCACUUCUGUCACACCCGUUUCCAAGGGGCAGAACCGGGUGCAUAGCAUAUGUGCGCCAGGAUCUAUUUCCACACAUAUGUUGACGUCACAAGUGUAAUAUAUCAAAAGAACAAUGCAUAAAAGUGUAAAUAACGAUUAUAUUACACUUUGAACAGACAUAAUGUCUUAACCUUUAUUCAUCAAAGUACAGGGAAACAAGGACAUCCAUCCACAGGAAGAUGACCGGGGUAUCACUAGACUAGCAUCCAUGGAGUUCAGCAUCAUAUCUUCAUCUGCAAACUUCUGAUCAAAAUUAAGCAAGGGUGAGCUCACUUAUGGUCGGGGCUCAGCAAGUGGGGGUAAAACUAAUGCAAGGUCUAACAAGGUGAGGCUAAGGUUGAGCAGUAAGCAUUUUAGUUGGUCAACAUUUUAUUAACAACACCUGUCUUACUAAUAAGUGUGAAUCCCAAGUAUUCCCAUUAAACAAAGGUAUAAGAGUAUAUCAAAAACACUUAAGUGAAACAACUUACGCAAACCAUUGGUAGAUCAUCGGAUCUCGAUUUAUUUCCAUCUUCAAGUUCAAUUAUCAUGUGAGGAGUCCAGGCUGCUCAUAACCGUGAGCACGGCUGAUAUAUCAGUUUUACACUCUGCAGAGGUGGCGCAUCUUUACCCAUGAGUCGUGAUUCCCUUCUAGCCCGGGUUAGCUAGACCCGUAUUCACUUCCGAGGUGAAUGGCUAGGGUCUCACUACGAGGCUUCUCCCUAGAGUCCUCAUUACGCAAAUGCUGGAAAUGGUCAAACUGCAUAAGGCACACCUACCGUAACCAACUUAUAGUCCAGACUACAGGGUAAAGCUUUGGGAACUAUGCCCGUAUCCAAUCUGCCUGAGCCGGAACUAUAAGAGCUUGCCAGAUGCCCCCGUUCCUGUCGACCACGACCAGCACCCAACAUAAGACAUCCCUAGUUAUUUAGCCAAGAUCAGAGCCAUGAUAGUUCUCAUGGUAGCACUAUUUUCCCGGGUGGUCACUCCAUGUUCCAAUUAAUAUGCAAUAAUCGUUUUUAACCAUCGGGUUAACAACAAUAAUGUAAACUUACCAUUUGGAACAUUAAUAUCAUAAACAGGAGUGACUGCAUAAAGUUUAAGUUGUAGCAAUAGCAUAGCUACUAAGGUAAAGUAUAAUACCCAGGUUUGAUCAAGGAAUAAGAUUGGAAAGGUUAUCUAAAUAGGUAACCCAUCAAGUUAUGCAUAUAUAUCCAAAAGAGUAAACUUUAUUAAAUGUAUUGUUUGGGAUCAAACAGAGUAUGCAGAGGGAGAAGUCCACUUGUCUUGCUUAUUGAAAACUUGAGACUCUUCCACGAAUCUGAAUAGAUCUUGAUUCAUAACUACUAGAUCAACCACUGAAUAUCACACAAACAAACAAUAAGAGCAAACAUCAUUCAAUAACAUACAACAUUCACCAUACGUAAAGCUAAAAGAAAGCCUAACGAAAAGAGCGUUCGCUUUUCAAAAACAUCACACGCAAGGGUUAUAAUAAAAAGGUAUUCUUUUCAAACAUGUGAUCUAUACUUAAUAAAAUAAGACAUGAGCUUAAAAUGUCUUAAUUAAACUAUACAAAUAUUAGGUUCACUAAUUUAAUCUUUUAUAAAACGUCAAACGCGAUACGUCUAAGAUAAAGGAUUUAUAAGACGAUAAAACACGUUAUAACGAUAUUAAACAUUUUUAACCUUUUAGAAUAGUUAUAAGUUAUAUAUCUAUGGUUAAUGCGUUAUGAAAUACAUUGUUAAUUUAUGAAGCAUUAUGGAACAUAUAAUUCAUUGUUAAACCUAUCACUUAUGAUAAAUUAAGAUAUAGGUCUAAAUAGGUUUUAUGUGAAAAGAUCAUUAUUAUUACACACCUAUUUUAUGAAAAACUAGGUUAUAGGCCCUUAAGUGGAUUUUCAUGCAAAAGAUAAUGAACAAAUGACUAUCUUUUAUUUUUAUUAGAAAGUACAUGGCCUAUAUUCUUUAUUAAAAUAGCUAUAUACAAAACAAUAUGUAAACUAACAUUUUUAGUUAUUAUAAAAGAACAUGAACACUAAUUUCAUUAUUUUAUUCUUUAGGAGAAACUAAGUGAUUUAUACAACAUGGCCUAAAUGUGAUGCAAUGAUUAAUCAAGCCUAUAUAACUAGUUAUGCAGAAGUUGAUAAUAGGUUUAACUAAUAAAUUAUGAGAAAGGAUACUUAAUCUUUUAAUUAUCUUUAGUUUUAAUUUAGGAACAAAUGAUCUAUAUCGUUAAAAAGAAACUAUGUUCAACAAUAUACAAACUAUUUUUGUUACUAAUAUUAUGAAGACGUGAGCACUUUAAAUAAGCGAUUUUAACUUCAUUUGAAAACUUUAUUCUUUCUUAGUGUGAACAGACAAUAUUUAUGCAUAUAACACUUUUAUUAUAAAUCUGAAUAACAUUUUAUGAGUAAAGAUAAUCAUAUAAUUAUUUAUCUAAUGUUUUUGUUAUGAAAAUGUGGUCUAAAAUUCCUUUUAACUUCAUACUUAGAAAACUGCGUAUAAAUUUACUUUGAUUCAAAUAAAUUUUAUGAACUUAAAAAUUGAUGAAAAACAAUAAUUAAAAUGAUUAAUCACAUUUUUAUAAAAUUAGUAAAUUUAUAAUUAAUUUAUUGGAACACUAAGUAUUACUUUUUUAUAUAUAACUAAGUUUAGCGCAAUGGCUAGAUCAUAAUUAUUUGCAGAAUAUAUGGUAGUAUGAAAGGUGGGCUUUCUUCUACCUUUGGUCGGCACAGAGCAGAGACGGCUGGGCACCGGCGAUGGGGCUUCAUCGAGGUUGAUGGCAACAAACAGAUGACGACCGACGAACAUGGACAGACGACGUCGUGGCGUUGAACAACGACGAGUGCGACAGCAGCAGUGGCAAGUACGACACGGCAACGGCGGGGCACUCAGCGAUGUGUGGUGUGACAACGGCUGAAGUUCCGUCGAUGGUGCGGUAGUAGCAGAGAGCAGCACGAUGAUGACACGAACAAGUGCUUGGCGCACAGCAAUAGGGAGCAGGGGCUUCGGCGACGGAUCGGCGGUGCUCGAGGUGAACUUCAACGAGCUGUGUUGACAACAGCUAGAAGGCGAACACAACGACAGUGCGGAUAACAGGCGCGCGAGUGACAAAUGAUGGUGAGGGCGACAGCUUUGAUAGGGACGAAGGCGAGGAGGCUGUGUGAGCAGAGUAGGAUGUUGGUGUCACGGUGGCGAACUCCGGCGAGGUCGAUGUGCAAAACAGAGACCAGCUGGGCGCGUGGGCGACGAGCGGCAAUGGCACAGCAAUACGCUGUCGCGAGGCGAGCAACGGCGUGGCUCUGCGCAGUGGGCGAGCAAUAAAGAGGAGGAAUGGCGAGCAGGGGCAGGGGCUCGGCAGCGCUUUAUAGCCACGGGCUAGCAUACGAGAGGGCGUCGGAAGGAGAAACGGCGCUGCACAAAUGCUCGGCAUCUAUUGAAGGUAGCUGGUGACUGGACAAGAAACUGACGUGGUUAAUGGAGAGGAAUUAGUCACGAGAAACUGUCACGACGAGUAACGGGCGUGGGACAGCUAGGCACCGAGUGCGGUGCGGUAGUCCACUGCCUGGGAUGCAAGCAGGCGGGGAAGACAAAGCAGCAGUGGCAGGCGACGAGAAGGCAGAUUGCGGCGACAACACUGCCUAGACCCGUUCGAACAGACGAACAGAGAAGAACACUGGAGCAGCAGUGGGAUCCACCUGCCAUUGAAAGAAAGAAAAAGAGAGAGACCCACGAGUAAGUGAAAGAGAGGAGGAAAGGUGAGAUGCCUCCUGCUGGUUGAGUGGGGUGAGCUUGAGGGGUCGGCUAGACUAGGAAGCUCAUCCGUUCAUUUUGCAGUUUUGUUUUUUUUCGAAAUUCAUUUUUUUUCUUUUUUUCUUUUCUUUUCUGUAGAGAAAGAAUAUAUAUAAUAUAUAAUUAAAAAUCCAGAAUAAAUAUAAUUUUAUUAUUAACUUAAUAAAACUUAUUUCGUAAAAAUUAUUUUAAGAGAAUUUUAUUAUUUAAAUAAAUGGCUCUUCUCAUAAUGAAAUAAAAACAAAUAGAAUUUUGUAUUUACUUACAAACUAAAAGUAUUAAUAUACAUAUUUUCCAAAAAUAUUAUUUUAGCACUACAUUAUUGUUUUGUAAAAAUGAGAUUUUUCUUCACAAGAUCAAAUCCAUAAAUUGAAUUUGCAAAUCAAUUCAAACAAAACAUAUGCUUCGGCAUGAGUGCAACAAACAAUUGGUAAAUUUAUCCAAUCACGAAAUUAUUCAAUAUAUUUAUAUUACCAUUUUAUUAUUAGAAAUCAUAAGUAUUUUCCCUUUUUAUUGAAAACUAAUAACUUAAACUGGUUUGUUUUUAGGUGAUGGAUUUAGAGUGUUACAAAUUGUCAUAUCCUUAGUUAAGAAUAUGUGAGCUUUCCACCUCUCUCUAAAUGCGAGUUUGCAUGGCAUAUCAUUACAUGAGUAUUCAUAUACUUCUAAUUGACUUGUAGAGCACAUAGAUGAAGAAUUCUAAGUGGAAGUGGAAGAGGAGUCUGCUCCUACAUCUGAAACUGCUCCAACUGAAGUUGUCUUUGAAGGUCCUCCAGAAGGUGCCCCGAUAGGGUUUGCUGCUAACUCCAAUAUCCUAGUAGAAGAGUCUGACUCUCCUCCUCAUCAAGGCAAGCCCCGGUGCAUUUUCCACCUCCUUGUUGUAUUUAAACUUUUAUCACUUAUAUGCUGCAUUAGGUAGUAGGAGUUGAAUGAUUAAACCUUUGCUGCAUAACUUCCUUGAAUUAUUGAUUAUCGUCCUUGAUACCUGAUUUGAAAAGCUAGAUAUGCUUAAUAUGCUUAUACACAAGGAACAAAAUGUUUUGAUGUAUGAAUCAUAUUUUUACAAAGAAAAAGAGACUGGAGUGAUGAAGGUAUCAAAGGCCUUGAUGACUUCAUCAUUUCAGAAGGGUACCUCUGACAGGAACCAGGUUUUUUAGAAAUAGUUAAAUGUGAGACCAGACGUUGAGCAUGAAAGGUUGCCCGUCUUUGUCGUUUAAGGACCGCAUGAUUGUUGGCCUGCUGAUCUAGGACCCUUUAACUGGCCACAUGCCUCAUCAUGGGUAAGCUUAGCCUCGGUCGGACCAAUAACAGAACAGCUCGCACACACUGGGAGUGGAGAGAUGGCGGGAGUAACGUGUGCCCACCUGGCAAGUGGCUGGAUGGUGGGGUACUAUGCUCUCAGGUCGCGUGAACCCAUUCUGGUCUUGAGAAACCUGGGUGCGAGUUGACAUAUGCAAGGGUUAAGUGCUACAUAUGUCAUGUGGUUGGAGAUCCCCAGCUGGGUAUUAAUCGAUUCGGAUCGUCGAACUUCUCAGAUAUGAAGACUGGAUCUUCGACCCUCAUCGUAGAUAACAAGUGAAACUAAAGCUGCUAAAAUGAAGCUAGCGUAGGACAAGUGAUUGCUCUAGAUUAGGCAAAUCUAGAUUCAGGAAAAGUACUUAACCUGCAAAGUAAAAGUGUGGCAUACACUAC
rnacentral:lncRNA from 1 species